UCUUAACAGUUUAUAUUCUAUUUUUUUCCCAUUAACUUCGCCCAUGAAUCCUCUUCGACUCCUCUUUCUCGCUCUCUCUAUAUCUAGCGAUGAAAAAACCCUAUCAAUCUCCGCCGGAAAUUAAGAUCCACUGAAUGUGGCUUGCUUCAGUCGAUCUCAGCAAAGUACGAGUAUGUCGAGCAAACUCCUUCUGGAUCAGUCUUCGGAAAUUGUUUCUCAGCAGCUAUGUGAUCGAUGUGGCAUGUUAUUUAGAGAAUUGUCCAGAUUUGUAUUGGAAAGAUGCAUCUGCAGCCACAAGGGUCUGACAGACUCCAUUUACCCCACAUGGAAACCAGAGCUACGUACAUAGAGCUUGCUCAACAAAAGGGAAAAUGCAGUUGUAAAUACAUUUCUGGUGGUAUAUUCAAGGUGAAAGCUCGCAGGAUGUGCAGUGCUCGUGGAGCAAAGCUGUUACCUGCAGAAACUCUUAGACUUUGGUGAGGUAAAGAGAAGUUAUAUAUCAUUCUUUGAUAUCGAGAAACAUGAAACCGUGAAUUCCAGGUGGGAUCUCGAGCUUGGACAAGAGCAGAUGAGGUUGGUAAAGGUUUGUGACCUUUGACAUCGGUAUGGACAUAACCUUCAUUUUUACUAUAAGUUGCUCCACUUCCUGAGUAGAGACCUUCUACUGGUUUGAUAUUGGCAAGGAGAAAGAAGUAAAACUUGUGAAGAAGUGUCUCGGUUGAAACUUCAGCAUUAAUUAAGUACCUUGGUCCGUGGAGAUAUGCUUCAAACUUCUUCUAUGAAAGAUAGUGAUCCACAAAAAUUUUGGUGCUCAGCACAUUAAAAGUGUUAUAUGUUGGGAAGAAGGGGAAGUUUCAACAGUUAAGCUUCUUAGCCGGAGGAGCUAAUGUUGCUGCAUGAAGAUUUGUUGUUUAAAAUGGUGUUCUUAAGGCUGUUUGGCCAUUGUCCAUGCUUGGUAGCAAUUUUCAAUUUUAGUAUAAUAGAUCAUAUAAAAAUAUAGAUUGAAGUUAACCGUGUUGUGAGUAUU